UACAGAGGGGGCAAGCGUUAUUCGGAAUUAUUGGGCGUAAAGGGCGCGUAGGCGGCUUGGCAAGUGGAUGGUGAAAUCCCUCGGCUUAACCGAGGAACUGCCGUCCAAACUGCUUCGCUUGAGACCGGGAGAGGUGAGUGGAAUUCCCAGUGUAGCGGUGAAAUGCGUAGAUAUUGGGAGGAACACCCGUGGCGAAGGCGGCUCUCUGG
rnacentral:rRNA from 1 species